GAAAUGUCGAUUUCUUCUUUUUCUGAAGCCUUCUCUGCUUCUUUGAGGAUGCUUUCCAGUUGGGCAAGUUCCUCUGACAUGUUGAUGACCUAAAACAAGAACACCCGGAAGGCUCUCUGCAUGUGGCUGGAACAAAAGAGCUCCUACUGGCUACCAGGCCACACCUGCAGAUCUCACUGGCCCGGGGCCAUCUGUUUGACAGCAUCUCUAAAGAAAAACAUGUUAAGCUUUUCUAGUGAGAAGCAGCCGGGGCCAGCCAUUGUCAAAGCCACCAGCAGCUUUCUUCACAUCAGCAAAGUGCAGCUGACAUCUAGCAUGGAAUCCACGCAUUACUCUCUAUUCCUACAAAAUGUUAAAACGUUGACACACUUAAUCAUCACUGAUCUUGUCCAGUUUCCAAGUAUACCCAUACAUUUGAAA